AUUGAACGCUGGCGGCAUGCCUUACACAUGCAAGUCGAACGGCAGCACGGGAGCAAUCCUGGUGGCGAGUGGCGAACGGGUGAGUAAUACAUCGGAACGUGCCCUGUAGUGGGGGAUAACUAGUCGAAAGACUAGCUAAUACCGCAUACGACCUGAGGGUGAAAGUGGGGGACCGCAAGGCCUCAUGCUAUAGGAGCGGCCGAUGUCUGAUUAGCUAGUUGGUGGGGUAAAGGCCUACCAAGGCGACGAUCAGUAGCUGGUCUGAGGGGACGAUCAGCCACACUGGGACUGAGACACGGCCCAGACUCCUACGGGAGGCAGCAUUGGGGAAUUUUGGACAAUGGGGGCAACCCUGAUCCAGCAAUGUCGCGUGUGUGAAGAAGGCCUUCGGGUUGUAAAGCACUUUUGUCCGGAAAGAAAUCGCUUCGGUUAAUACCUGGAGUGGAUGACGGUACCGGAAGAAUAAGGACCGGCUAACUACGUGCCAGCCGCCGCCGUAAGAC
rnacentral:rRNA from 1 species